UACGAAGGGGGCUAGCGUUGCUCGGAAUCACUGGGCGUAAAGCGCACGUAGGCGGAUUGUUAAGUCAGGGGUGAAAUCCUGGAGCUCAACUCCAGAACUGCCUUUGAUACUGGCGACCUUGAGUCCGGGAGAGGUGAGUGGAACUGCAAGUGUAGAGGUGAAAUUCGUAGAUAUUCGCAAGAACACCAGUGGCGAAGGCGGCUCACUGGCCCGGUACUGACGCUGAGGUGCGAAAGCGUGGGGAGCAAACAGG
rnacentral:rRNA from 1 species